AUACCUUUCUCGGCCUUUUGGCUAAGAUCAAGUGUAGUAUCUGUUCUUAUCAGUUUAAUAUCUGAUACGUGGGUCAUUGACCCACAUGAUAUUAAAUUUAUUUUUAGAGGGGGAGGGUCCACCACAGUAGCUUGCUGCUGGGAUCCUUAAGCGUCGCCCAUGUGUUGCACUACAGCACGGGCCUGGCGCACCCCAC
rnacentral:snRNA from 1 species